GAUGAACGCUAGCGGCAGGCUUAAUACAUGCAAGUUGAGGGGCAGCAUGAUAUACGCGAGUAUAUUGAUGGCGACCGGCGGACGGGUGAGUAAUAGGUAGGAGACCUACCUCAUACAGGGGGAUAGCAUAGAGAAAUCUGUGGUAAUACCCCAUGAGGUUAUAUGAAUAGAGGCAUAUAAUCAAAGCAUAAGCGAUUAUGCGGUAUGAGAGGGGCCUACUGACCAUUAGCUAGUUGGUGAGGUAAGGGCUCACCAAGGCGAAGAUGGUUAGGGGUUUUGAGAGAGAGACCCCCCACAUUGGAACUGAGAGACGGUCCAGACUCCUACGGGAGGCAGCAGUAGGGAAUAUUGGGCAAUGGGCGAAAGCCUGACCCAGCCAUGCCGCGUGAAGGAAGACGGCCUUAUGGGUUGUAAACUUCUUUACUACGCGAAUAGAGGUUAGUACGAGAUACUAAUAGGAAGGUAGUAGUAAGUAAAAAGCAACCGGCUAACUCCGUGCC
rnacentral:rRNA from 1 species